CCCCCCCCCCCCCCCCCGCGAUGCCAAAGUCGAAUCUCAGAACGGGAUGGGAAAAACAAUGCGAAAAAAGGAGAGAAAAAAAAAAGAGAGAUUGGAAAGGAAGAGGGGAAGAAAAUGGGAAGAGAUGCCAAAAAAUAGGAGAAAAAGGGAGGAAAAAGGAGAAAAAGAGGAGGAAAAGAGGAGGAAAAAGGAGGAAAAAAGGAGAAAAAAAGGAGGAAAAAAGGAGGAGGAGAUAAAAUGGAGAAAAAAGGAGAAAAAAGGGAGGAAAAAGGGAGGAAAAAAGGAGAAAAUGAGGAGGAAAAAAAAGAGGAGAAGAGGAGAUAAAAUGGAGAAAAAGGGAGAAAAAAGGAGAAAAAAGGGAGGAAAAAAGGAGAAAAUGAGGAGGAAAAGAGGAGGAAAAAGGAGGAAAAAAGGAGAAAAAAGGGAGGAAAAAAGGGAGGAAAAAAGGAGGAGAAGAGGAGAUAAAAUGGAGAAAAAAGGAGAAAAAAGGGAGGAAAAAAGGAGGAGAAGAGGAGAUAAAAUGGAGAAAAAGGGAGAAAAAAGGAGAAAAAAGGGAGGAAAAAAGGAGAAAAUGAGGAGGAAAAGAGGAGGAAAAAGGAGGAAAAAAGGAGAAAAAAAGGAGGAAAAAAGGGAGGAAAAAAGGAGGAGAAGAGGAGAUAAAAUGGAGAAAAAAGGAGAAAAAAGGGAGGAAAAAAGGAGAAGAGGAGAUAAAAUGGAGAAAAAAGGAGAAAAAAGGAGGAAAAAGGGAGGAAAAAAGGAGAAAAUGAGGAGGAAAAAAAAGGAGGAGAAGAGGAGAAUAAAAAGGAGGAAAAGAGGAGAAAAAAGGGAGAAAAAAAGGAGAAAAAGGGAGGAAAAAGAGGAGGAAAUGAGAAGAAAAAAAAAGGAGGAGAAGAGGAGAAAAAAUGGAGAAAAAAGGAGAAAAAAAGGAGGAAAAAUGGAGAAAAUGAGGAGGAAAAAAGGAGGAGAAGAGGAGAAAAAAAGGAGGAAAAGAGAAAAAUGGAGAAAAAGGGAGAAAAAGGGAGGAAAAAAUGAGGAAAUGAGAAGAAAAAAAAGGAGGAGAAGAGGAGAUAAAAUGGAGAAAAAAGGACAAAAAAGGGAGGAAAAAAGGAGAAAAUGAGAAAAAAAAGGAGGAGAAGAGGAGAAUAAAAAGGAGGAAAAGAGGAGAAAAAAUGGAGGAAAAAAGAUAAUGAGAAAAAAAGGAGGAGAAGAGGAGAUAAAAUGGAGAAAAAAGGAGAAAAAAGGAGAAAAUAGUGAGGAAAAAGAGGAGAAAAAAAGGGAGGAAAAAGGAGAAAAUGAUGAGAAAAAAAGGAGGAGAAGAGGAGAAAAAAGGAGGAAAAGAGGAGAAAAAAUGCGAAAAAAAGGAGAGAAAGGAGAAAAAAGGGGGAGAAUGAGGAAAAAAAAAGAGAGGAAAAAAGAUUUGAAAGGAAGAGGGGAAGAAAAUGGGAAGAGGUGCCAAAAAUAGGAGAAAAAGGGAGAAAAAAAGGAGAAAAAAGAGGAGGAAAAAAUGGAGAGAAAAGGAGAAAAAGGAGAAACAGAGGAGAAAAGGAGGAGAAAAAGGAGAAAAAAGGAGAAAUAAAGGAGAAAAAGGGAGAAAAGGGAGGAAAAAAGGAGAAAAAAGGAGAAGAAAAGGAGAAAAAAGGAGAAAAAAACGAGAAGAAAAGGAGAAAAAAAGGAGAAGAAAAAGAGAAAGAGAAAAGGAGGAAAAAAGGAGAAAAUGAGAAAAAAGGAAGAAGAGGAGAUAAAAUGGAGAAAAAAUGAGAAGAAAAGAAGAAAAAAGGAGAAAAAAGGAGAAAAAAGGGAGAAAAAAGGAGAAAAAAGGAGAAAAAAGGAGAAAAAAGGAGAAAAAAGGAGAAAAAGGAGAAAAAGGAGAAGAAAAGGAGAAGAAAAAGGAGAAGAAAAGGAGAAAAAAAAGGAGAAAAAAGGGAGAAAAAAGGAGAAAAAGGGAGAAGAAAAAGGAGAAGAAAAGGAGAAAAAAGGAGAAGAAAAGGAGAAGAAAAAGGAGAAAAAAGGAGAAGAAAAGGAAAAGAAAAGGAGAAGAAAAAAAGGAAAAAAGGAGAGAAAAGGAGAAAAAAGGAGAGAAAAGGAGAAAAAAAGGAGAAGAAAAGGAGAAGAAAAGGAGAAGAAAAGGGGAAGAAAAGAUUUAAAAAGGGAGAAAAAAAGCUUAAAAAUGAAGGAAAAAAAGAAGAAAAAAAAACCGAAAAAAAAAAGGAGAAAAUAAAACAGGGAAAAAAAAAACGAGAGAAAAACAAACAAACAAAAAAAGCCAAAAGAAAAGAAAAAAAAGCAAGAAAAAAAGCAAAAAGCACCGAGCGGAGGGGAGGGACCCCCAACCCCCCCCCCCCCCCACCCCCCUCCCCAAAAACCCCCCCAACGGGACUCAGCACAGAGCGAAGCAGACGACGACGUCGAGGAGAGGAGAGGAGGAGGAGGAGGAGGAAGAGCCGCUAUGGGGGCGGGGGGGCGCCGUUUCUCCUCCCGUCCUGCAGGUGGCGCUGUGGGAGCGCCCAACUUCUCCUCCAUGACCGCGUCGGACUGAAACCUCUCAGAGCAAUAAUACUAAUAAUACUAAGAAUGCUAAUAAUAAUAAUAAUAAUUAAUGAUAAUAAGGAUACUAAUCAUACUCAUACGGAUAAAUAAUCGUGGAGGGUGGCCGGCGUGAGCUCACGAGGACUCACGAGGACUCGCGGCCGCCCGGCCCCACUUCUCACUAGCGACGAAGAUCAGGGAUGCCGUCACAGUAGCGCUAGCAAACCCCCCCCCCCCCCCAAAACCCCCCCAUAGCCAACCUGCAACCGACCCCUCCCCCCCCCCGACCCCCCCCUUUGGUCGAAAUCCCCCCCCCCGGGCUUUGCACGCGCGUGUGAGGGGCCGUCGGGUGAGUGCACACGCGGGUGUGAGCGUGCGUGGGGCCGGCAGGCAGCAAUAGGCUCUCAGGGGCUCUGUGAGUGCUGCGGGUGCUGCAUGGCUGUUGCACACUCACAUACACACUGCAGGUGUGCACACGUGUGUGACAGGCUGUAGUGAGUGCACACGUGUGUGCAAGUGUCUGUGCAACCAUGUGGUGCCAGCAGGCGGCCGUCGGCUCACAAGGGCUCUGUGAGUGCUGCGUGGCUGUUGCACACGCACGUGUGAGCACACACACAUAUAUGCAUGCACACGUGUGUGACAGGCUGUAGUGAGUGCACACGUGUGUGCAAGUGUAUGUGCAACAGUGUGGUGCCAGCAGGCAGCAAUAGGCUCUCAUGGGCUCUGUGAGUGCUGCGGGUGCUGCAUGGCUGUUGCACACUCACAUACACACUGCAGGUGUGCACGCGUGUGUGACAGGCUGUAGUGAGUGCACACGUGUGUGCAAGUGUCUGUGCAACCAUGUGGUGCCAGCAGGCGGCUGUCGGCUCACAAGGGCUCUGUGAGUGCUGCGUGGCUGUUGCACACGCACGUGUGAGCAAUAUAUGCAUGCACACGCGUGUGACAGGCUGUAGUGAGUGCACACGUGUGUGUGUCUGUGCAACUGCGUGGGGCCGGCAGGCAACAAUAGGCUCUCAAGGGCUCUGUGAGUGCUGCGUGGCUGUUGCACACGCACGUGUGAGCACACACAUGUACGUGCAUGCACAUGCGUGUGACAGGCUGUAGUGAGUGCACACGCGUGUGCGUCUGUGCAACUGUGUGGUGCCAGCAGGCAGUAAUUGGCUCACAAGGGCUCUGUGAGUGAUGCGGGUAUUGCAUGGCUGUUGCACACGCACGUGUGAGCACACACGCACAUAUAUAUAUAUGCAUGCACACGUGUGUGACAGGCUGUAGUGAGUGCACACGUGUGUGCAAGUGUCUGUGCAACCGUGUGGUGCCAGCAGGCGGCUGUCGGCUCACAAGGGCUCUGUGAGUGCUGCGUGGCUGUUGCACACGCACGUGUGAGCACACACACAUAUAUAUGCAUGCACACGUGUGUGACAGGCUGUAGUGUGUGCACACGCGUGUGCAUGUGUAUGUGCAACCGUGUGGUGCCAGCAGGCAGCUGUCAGCUCACAAGGGCUCUAUGAGUGCUACAGGUGCUGCUCUGCUGUUGCACACUCACACACACACUGCAGGUGUGCACACGUGUGUGUGAUAGGCCGUAGUGAGUGCGCACGUGUGUGCAAGUGUACGUGCAACCGUGUGGUGCCAGCAGGCAGCAAUUGGCUCACAGGGGCUCUGAGAGUGCAUGACUGUUGCACACUCAUAUGCACACAACGUGCGUGUGCACGUGUGUGAUAGACCGUAGUGAGUGCACACGUGUGUGCAAGUGUAUGUGCAACCGUGUGGUGCCAGCAGGCGGCCGUCAGCUCACAAGGGCGCUAUGAGUGCUGCAGAUGCUGAUUGCUGUUGCACACGCACGUGUGAGCACACACACAGAUACAUGCAUGCACAUGUGUGUGACAGGCCGUAGUUCAUGCACACGCGUGUGCAAGCAUCUGUGCAACUGUGUGGUGCCAGCAGGAAGCAAUUGGCUCACAGGGGCUCUAUGAGUGCUGGUGGUGCUGCUCUGCUGUUGCACACGCACGUGAGCACACGCACAUAUAGCCCUGCAGCAUGUAUGCACAGGCGUGUGCAAGCACAGGUAUGCGCAUGUCACGGCCGCUGUUGCACACAUACGUGUGAGCACACACAUGUACAGGCAUGCAACGUGCAGGCACACGUGUGUGUUGUGCACUUACACGUGCACACUCACACACAGAGGGCACGCAUGCUUACACACGCACGUGCAAGCAGGCAGCAGUAGGGCCUGCAUGCUCUGCAAUGGCUGCUGGUGUUGCACACGCGUGUACAUGGAGGCACACACAUGUGCACGCUCGCUUAUAGCUAUGCAUGUUGCACACGCGUGUGCAAGCACGGGUAUGUAUGUGGUGCCAGCAGGCAGCAGCCGGCUCACACGCGCUGUGAGUGCUGCACAGCUGUUGCACACGCGUGUACGUGUGGGCACACGCACAUGCACACCCAUCCACACAUUCAAGCAUACGCGUGUGUCACGAAUUUACAUGCACACACACUCACACGUGCACACACAUUCACACACUCCUCGUGCAAGCAGACAGGAAGGAGCUGCUCUGCUUUGUGAGCGCUGUCGGUGUUGCACACGCGUGUGCAUGUAUGCACACGCACACACACACACACACCUGACACGCACGUGGAUCCAAGCGAGGCGCCCUAAGUGCGGCGGGUGCUGCACACGCGUGUGAACAUUUGCACACGCAGACACACCCACACACAAGCAGGCUUGUGUGCUCUGCACGUGCUGCUGGUUUUGCACACCCAUGCCAAUGUUUGCACGCGCAGCCGGUGUGCACUCACGUACACACUCACAUCAAGCAGACGUGGGCAGGCAGGCAUGCACACAAGUGCUGCUGGUGUUGCACACCUCUUGCACACACAUACCCAUGCAGGCACACACGCAUACAAACAUGCUACACGCAGCCUUGCACACUCAUUGUGCCAUCACACACGUGUGUGCUCUGCAAGUGCUGCUGCUGUUGCACACCUCUUGCACACACAUACCCAUGCAGGCACACGCAUGCAACACACAGCCUUGCACACUCAUUGUGGGAGCCCACAGACACACGUGUGAGCUCUGCAAGUGCUGCUGCUGUUGCACACUUAUUGCACACACGUACAUGUAUGCACACACACACCUCGCAGCCUUGCACACUCGUUGUGGCAGCACACAGACACACGUGUGUGCUCUGCAAGUGCUGCUGCUGUUGCACACCUCUUGCACACACAUACCCAUGCAGGCACAUGCACACGCAUGCAACACACAGCCUUGCACACUCAUCGUGGCAGCACACAGACACACAAGUGUGCUCCACCAGUGCUGCUGGUGUUGCACACCUCUUGCACACACAUACCCAUGCAGGCACACACGCAUACAAACAUGCAACACAGCCUUGCACACUCAUUGUGGCAGCACACAGACACACGUGUGCGCUCUGCAAGUGCUGCUGCUGUUGCACACCUCUUGCACACGCAUAUCCAUGCAGGCACAUGCACAUACAUACAUGCAGUACGUGGCCUUGCACACUCAUUGUGGCAGCACACAGACACAUGUGUGAGUUCUGCAAGUGCUGCUGGUGUUGCACACCUCUUGCACACACAUACCCAUGCAGGCACACGCAUGCAACACACAGCCUUACACACUCAUUGUGGGAGCCCACAGACACACGUGUGCGCUCUGCAAGUGCUGCUGCUGUUGCACACCUCUUGCACACACAUACCCUUCCAGGCACACGCACACGUAUGCAACACGCAGCCUUGCACACUCACUGUGGCAGCACACGGACACACAUGUGCGCUCUGCAAGUGCUGCUGGUGUUGCACACCUCUUGCACACACACGUACAUGUAUGCACACACACACCUCGCAGCCUUGCACACUCGUUGUGCCAUAACACAGAAACACAUGUGUGCUCUGCAAGUGCUGCUGCUGUUGCACACCUCUUGCACACGCAUAUCCGUGCAGGCACAUGCAUGCAACACGCAGGCUUGCACACUCGUUGUGGCAGCACACAGACACACAUGUGUGCUCCGCAAGUGCUGCUGGUGUUGCACACUUAUUGCACAUACACGUACAUAUAUGCACACACAAACACUCAUCGUGCAAGCAGACGUUGCACAUCUUGCACACUCAUGCAGCGUGCAGGCUCACGCAUGUGUUGUGUACACAGCCCUGAGCACGCUUGCACACUUUGCUGGUGUUGCACACCCAUUGUAUGCACAAACAUGUUUGCACACGCAUGUUAGGUGCCACCUCCCAUGCUCUGCAAGUGCUGCGGCUGUUGCACACGCACACGCAAGUGUGCACAAGCGAUGUGUUGAGCACUGCUCGCGUGUGCAAGGCACGUGGCAUGAGUGUGCAUGAGGAGCACACGUGCAUGAGCGUCGCCAUGCGCACAGACUGCCUUGCACACGCGUGUGAGUAGGAUCACAUUGCACACGCAUCCUGUCAGCACACUGUGCAAAGCACACUGCCCCGGUGCACAAACAUUCACACCUUGCACACCCACACCCCUGUGCACACGCGUGAGAGCCCUGCACACGCACCACAUAAUGCACACCUGCACCACUUGCUCGGGUGUGCAAACCUUGUGGGUGCAACGUGCGUGCACAUCCCGUGCUCACACGCUACACACUGUGUGCACACUCAUUACACACCCAGUGCUCACCCAUUGCACACUCACUGCACUGCACAUCCAUCACAAUCCCUUUGCACACCCAUUGCACACCGACUGCACACACUGCACUCCCAGUGCACACCCAUUGCACACUCACUGCUCAGCACAUCCUUUAGACUCCCUGUGCACACCCGUUGCACACUCACUGCACAUCCAUUACAAUCCCUUUGCACAACCACUGCACACUGACUGCACAUCCAUUACAAUCCCUUUGCACACCCAUUGCACACCGACUGCAUGCACUGAAUCCCCUCUGCACACUCAUUGCACACUCACUGCACUGCACAUCCAUUACAAUCCCUCUGCACACCCAUUGCACACUCACUGCACUGCAUCUCCAUCACACCCCCUGUGCACACUCAUUGCACACUUGCUGCACUCCCAUUAGAUCCCGUGUGCACACCCACUGCUCACCAACUGCACUCCCUGUGCACACUCAUUGCACACUCACUGCACACCCAUUGCACCCCCUGUGCACACCCAUCGGACACUGCAUGUCAACUGCACUCCCUGUGCACACUCAUUGCACACUCACUGCACACCUAUUAGACCCCCUGUGCAUGCCCGUUGCAUGCCAACUGUACUCCCUGUGCACACUCAUGGCACGCAGUGCACACUCACUGCACACCCAUUCUGUACACUGCAUUCCCUGUGCACACCCACUGCACACUCACUGCACACUGCAUUCCCUGUGCACACCCAUUCUGCACACACUGUGCACACCCAUUGCACACUCACUGCACGCACUGCACUCCCCGUGCACGCCCACUGCACACUCAUUACACGUCCACUGUGCACUCCUUGCACACACUGCACCCCCUUUGCACACUCACUGCCCACCCACAGCGUGCACUGCACUCCUGUUGCACACCCACUGCACACACUGCACGCUCUGUGCACACACACUGCGCUGCACACUCACUGCAUGUCUACUGCAUGCUCUUUGCACGCACUGCACCCCCUUUGCACACUCACCGCACACCCACUGCAACCUGUGUGCACACUCACUGCACACCCAGCACUCUUUUUGCACACACACUGCACGCCCUGUGCACACACUCAUUGCACACCCACAGCGCACACACCCACCGCUCACCCCACGCAUGCAGUGAACUCCUCUUGCACACUCACUGCACAUGUUGCACUCCCCUGCACACACAGCUCCCCCUGUGCAAGCCCAGUGCACACCCACCGCAGACCCUUUGCACGCACCACACUCCUCUUGCACACCCACUGCUCCCUCUGCACACCCCCUGCUCCACACACACACCACCGUGCCCUGUGCAUGCCCACAGCACUCCCCGUGCACACCCAUUGCACACCCGUUGCACACACACCACGCACUGUAAACCCACUGCACUUGUUGCUCACGUUACCAACGCGCUGCACACGUUGCACACCCACUGCACACAUGACACACCCGUUGCACACACACUGCACACACAUUGCACACCCAUUGCACACAGACUGCACACUGUGCACGCUCCUUGCACGCACAUUGCACACCCUCUGCACACACCACACACGUGAUUGCAGGCAUUGCACACGUUGCACACACAAACGUGUGACACUGCAUACGUGCAGCACCCCACAAACACACUGCACACCCAUUGCACGCACACUAUAAGCACACUCAGCACACACAACAUGCAACAAACGUGACACACGUGUGACACACGCGUGACACUCAUAACAAUCACCAGACACACUCAGUGCCCUGCACACGCACUGCACAACCAUUGCACACACACUAUAGGCACAAUCAGCACACACAACACACGUGACACACGCGUGACACACUCAUAACAAGCACCAGACACACUCAGCACCCCACACAUGCACUGCACGCCCAUUGCACACACACUCAGAACACACAACACGUGUGACACACACAUAACACACUCAUAGCAACACCAGACACACUCACUGCCCUGCAGGUGCCUUGCACGCCCAUUGCACACACACUAAAAGCAUACUCAACGCACACAACACAUGUGACACACACAUGUGACACACACGUGACACAAACACGUGACACACAUGUGACUCACACUCUGUACACACACAACACACUCGCACACAGUGCCCCCCACACCCCCUGCACUCCCCUUGCACACCCACUGCACACAAACGCGUGGCACACACGACACACACACGCACUACACCACACACACACUCACAACACGCACACCGCACGCCCAUUGCACGCCUAUUGCACACCCAUUGCAUGCCCAUUGCACACGUGACACAUGUGGCACACACUACACACCACUCACACAUGAGACACACACUCACAACCAGCACUGCAUGCACUCAGUGCCUGCAGGCCCAUUGCACACCCAUUCCACAUCCAUUGCACACCCGCUGCACAUGUGACACGUGUGCCACACAGCACGCACACAACACACGCACAAAACACACACACACAACCAGCACUGCGUGCACUCAGUGCCUGCACACCCAUUACACGCCCAUUGCACGCCCAUCACACAGCCAAUGCACACCACUUGCACACCCAUUGCACACGUACUGCACACGUGUCACGUGUGAGACACACCACACACACGACACACACACGAACACUGCAUGCACUCGGUGCCUGCACACCCAUUGCACACCCAUUGCACAGCCAUUGCACGCCCCUUGCACACCCACUGCACACGUGACACGUGUGACACACACUACACACCUCUCACACAUGAGACACACACUCACAACCAGCACUGCAUGCACUCAGUGCCUGCAGGCCCAUUGCACACCCAUUGCACACUCAUCACACAGCCACUGCACACCCCUGCACAACCACUGCACACGUGACACAUGUGACACACACCACACACAUGACACACACACACACACUGCAUGCACUCAGUGCCUGCACACCCAUUGCACGCCCAUUGCACGCCCAUCACACAGCCAUUGCACGCCCCUUGCACACCCACUGCACACGUGACACGUGUGACACACCACACACAUGACACACACACAACACACUGCAUGCACACCCAUUGCACGCCCACUGCACACACACCACACCCACAUGACACACCCACAUAGCACUCACCGUGUGCACUCGGUGCCCUGCAUGCCUCUUGCACGCCCGCCACACACCCACAGCCCAAAUCGCAUGGCCGUUGCACACCCACAGCACACACGACACGUGUGAGACACACCGCACGCUCCAUACACACGCACGCAACACACAGCGCACACACUCAGCACGCCGCAUGCCCGUUGCACACCCGUUGCACGCCCACUGCACGCACGCAAUACACAACUCAGACAACACACAGCACACGCACGCACAAAGCACACUCACAACACUCACUGCGCACACUCAGCACUCCUCACAUCUGUUGCACACUCAUUGCACUCCCAUUGCACACCCACCACACACACAACACGCGUGACACACACAUGACACACACAACACGCAUGCACAAUGCUCAGUACAUGCACACAGUGUCCUGCACACUCAUUGCACGCCCAUUACACACACUGCUCACAUAUGGCCCGUGUGACACACGCAGCACACUCACACACGCAUGCACAACGCUCAGUACACACAGUGCCCUGCACAAAAUUGCACACUCAUUGAACGCCCAUUGCACACCCACUGCUCACACAUGGCCCGCGUGACACAUACACGCACUUGAUGCACACUCACAACGUGCAUUGCACGCACUCAGUGCCCUGCACCCAAAUUGCACACUCAUUGCACACCCAUUGCAUGCCCAUUGCACACCCACCACACACACGACACGCGUGACACAUGCGUGACACACACAACACGCAUGUAGAACACUCAGUACAUGCACUCAGUGCCCUGCACACUCACUGCACACUCAUUGCACGCCCAUUGCACACCCACUGCACACACACAACACGCGUGACACACGUGACACACACAACACGCAUGCACAACGCUCAGUACAUGCACACAGCGUCCUGCACACUCGUUGCACACUCAUUGCACGCCCAUUGCACACCCAGCGCACACACACAACAUGCGUGACACACGUGACACACACAACACGCAUGUAGAACACUCAGUACACGCACUCAGUGCCCUGCACACAAACUGCACAUUCAUUGCACACUCAUUGCACGCCCAUUGCACACCCACUGCUCACACAUGGCCCGUGUGACACAUACACACUGCACACACUUCAUGCACACUCCCAACAUGCAUUGCAUGUGCUCAGUGCCACGCACACCCAUUGUACACCCAUUGCACGCCCAUUGCACACCCACCACACACACACGCACCACACACACUCCCACCACACACCGCACACACUCGGUGCCUUGCACACCCACUGCACGCCCAUUGCACACCCACCACACACACUCCCACCACGCACCGCACACACUCAGUGCCUUGCACACCCAUUGCACGACCUUUGCACGUCUAUUGCACACCCACCACACACGUGACGUGUGACUAACGUGACACGUGACACACACACACACACACACACACACACACUCACACCAUGCACCACACGCGCUCGGCGCCCUGCAUGCCCUUUACACACCCAUCGCACACCCAGCACACACACUCCCACACACUCGGCCCCCCGCACGCCCAUUGCACGUCUAUGACACGGACAUUGCACACCCACAAUGCACAUGGCACGUGUGACACACGUGACACAUGUCCCCCCACACUCCCACCACACACUGCAUGCACUCAGUGCCUUGCACACCCAUUGCACAUCCAUUGCACGUCCAUUGCGCACCCACUGCUCACACAUGGCACGUGUGACACACACACACACCACACACACUGCACGCACACUCCCAACAUGCAUUGCACACUCUCAACGUGACGCAUGCCCGUUGCACACCCAUUGCACACCCACAGCACACACUUAUAACACGCACACUCCCACACACUUGGCAACCCUCACAUCCAUUGCACGUCUAUUACACACCCAUUGCACGCUCACAGCACACACACAACACACACACUCCCACACACUCGGCGGCCCGCACACCCUUUGCACAUCUAUUACACACCCAUUGCACACCCACUAUGCACAUGGCACGUAUGACACACGUGACACACAUCCCCCCACACUUCCACCACACACUGCAUGCACUCGGUGCCUUGCACACCCAUUGCACACCCAUUGCACAUCCAUUGCACGUCCAUUGCACACCCACUGCUCACACAUGGCUUGUGUGACACACACACACCACACACACUGCACGCGCACUCCCAACAUGCAUUGCACACACUCAGCGUGACGCAUGCCCGUUGCACACCCAUUGCACACCCUUUACACACUCAGGACACACAUGACACACGUGACACACACACAGAACAGACACACACUCCAAACACACCGAUUGCACACCCAUUGCACAGCAGCUGCACACGCAUUGCACACUCUUUACACACCCAUUGCACCCUCACAACACACAACACACAUGACUCACACACAACACACGCACAUACACUCCCAACACACCCUACGUGCCCAUUGCACACCCUUUACACACCCAUUGCACACUCAGGACACACACAACACACGACACACACACACACUCCUAACACGCCCAUUGCACAUCCAUUACACACCCACCACAUGCGUGUGACACCCCCUCACUCUCCCACCACGCCUUUGCACGCCCAUUGCACACCCACGACGCACGUGACACAUGUGACACAUAAACACACCACACUCCCACCACACACUGCACACACUCAGUUCCUUGCACACCCAUUGCACACCCAGAGCUCACCCAUUGCACGUCCAUUACACACCCAUUGCACACGCAUGACACACGUGACACAUGUGACACACACAAACACACUCCCAACACGCACUGCAUGCUAAUUGCACACCCUUUGCACACCAACUACACAUCCAACACCCGUGACACACACAUACACACUCCCACCACACACUGCACACACUCAGCUCCCUGCACACCCAUUGCACAGCCAGAGCUCACCCAUUGCACCUCCAUUGCACACCCAUUGCACCCCUGCUACACACGUGACACACACGCACUCCCACCACGCACUGCACACACUCAGCUCCCUGCACGCACAUUGCACGCCCAUUGCACACUCAUGACACACGUGACACACGUGAUACACACACACUCACACACUCCCACCACACUCUGCACACACACAGCGCCCCACACUCCCACUUCACACCCAUUGCACACCCAUGACACACGUGACACAUGUGACACACACACUCACACCCUCCCAGCACGCACUGCACACACUCAGCUCCCUGCACACCCAUUGCACACCCAUGACACACGUGACACACAUACACACACUCCCAGCACACACUGCACACACUCAGCUCCCUGCACACCCAUUGCACACCCACAAGGCACGUGACACCCGUGACACACAUGACACACACACUCCCACCACGCACUGCACACACUCAGCGCCCCACACUCCCACUGCACACCCAUUGCACACCCAUGACACACGUAACACACAUGACACACACAAACACACUCCGAACACGCACUGCACGCCCAUUGCACACCCUUUGCACACCCACUGCACACCAACUACACACCCAACACCCAUUGCACACCCACGACGCACAUGACACACAUGACACACACACACUCACACACUCCACCACACUGUGCACACACUCAGCACCCCACACACCCACUGCACAUCCAUUGCACACCCAUGACACACGUGACACACUUGACACAUAAACACACCACACUCCCACCACGCACUGCACACACUCAGCUCCCUGCACACACAUUGCACACCCAUGACACACGUGACACACGUGACACACACACACUCACACACUCCCACCACGCACUGCACACACUCAGCACCCAUUGCACACCCACAGCACACCCACAGCACACCCACAACGCGCGCCACCCACGUGACACUCACACCCCCCCCUCCCCCACACUCCCACCACGCCCCGCGCUCACUCGGCGCCCCACACGCCCAUUGCACACCCAUGACACACGUGACACCCGUGACACACACACUCACACACUCCCAGCACGCACUGCACACACUCAGUGCCCCACAUGCCCAUUGUACACCCAUUUCACGCCCAUUGCACACCCAUGACACACGUGACACAUAUGACACACACACUCACACACUCCCACCACACGCUGCACACACUCAGCUCCCUGCACACCCAUUGCACACCCACAACGCACGUGACACCCAUGAUACACACACACUCACACACUCCCACCACACUCUGCACACACUCAGCACCCCACACACCCACUGCACACCCAUUGCACACCCACAGCACACCCACAACGCGCGCCACCCACGUGACACUCACAGCCCCCCCUCCCCCACACUCCCACCAUGCCCUGUACUCACUCGGCGCCCCACACGCCCAUUGCACACCCAUUGCACACCCACGACGCACGUGACACAUGUGACACACACACUCACAUACUCCCAACACGCACUGCAUGCCAAUUGCACACCCUUUGCACACCCACUGCACACCCACUACACACCCAACAUCCGUGACACCCAUGACACACAUGACACACGUGACACACACGCACUCACACACUCCCACCAUGCACUGCACACACUCAGCACCCAUUGCACGCCCAUUGCACACCCAUUGCACACCCACUGCACACCAACUACACACCCAACACCCGUGACACUCAUGACACACAUGACACACGUGACACACACACACACUCACACACUCCCACCACGCACUGCACACACUCAGCACCCAUUGCACACCCAUUGCACACUCACAGCACACCCACAACGCGCGCCACCCACGUGACACUCACACCCCCCCCUCCCCCACACUCCCACCACGCCCUGUACUCACUCGGCGCCCCGCACGCCCAUUGCACACCCAUUGCACACCCACGAUGCACGUGACACAUGUGACACACACACUCACAUACUCCCAACACGCACUGCAUGCCAAUUGCACACCCUUUGCACACCCACUGCACACCCACUACACACCCAACAUCCGUGACACCCAUGACACACAUGACACACGUGACACACACACACUCACACACUCCCACCAUGCACUGCACACACUCAACACCCCACACACCCACUGCACACCCACUGCACACCCAUUGCACACCCACAGCACACCCACAAUGCACGCCACCCACGUGACACUCACACCCCCCCCUCCCCCACACUCCCACCAUGCCCUGUACUCACUCGGCGCCCCACACGCCCAUUGCACACCCAUUGCACACCCACGACGCACGUGACACAUGUGACACACACACUCACAUACUCCCAACACGCACUGCAUGCCAAUUGCACACCCUUUGCACACCCACUGCACACCCACUACACACCCAACAUCCGUGACACCCAUGACACACAUGACACACGUGACACACACACACUCACACACUCCCACCAUGCACUGCACACACUCAGCACCCAUUGCACGCCCAUUGCACACCCAUUGCACACCCACAGCACACCCACAACGCGCGCCACCCACGUGACACUCACACCCCCUCCCCCCCACACUCCCACCACGCCCUGUACUCACUCGGCGCCCCACACGCCCAUUGCACACCCAUUGCACACCCACGACGCACGUGACACAUGUGACACACACACUCACAUACUCCCAACACACACUGCACGCCCAUUGCACACCCUUUGCACACCCACUGCACACCAACUACACACCCAACACCCAUUGCACACCCACGACGCACAUGACACACGUGACACACACACACUCACACACUCCACCACGCACUGCACACACUCAACACCCCACACACCCACUGCACACCCACUGCACACCCAUUGCACACCCACAGCACACCCACAAUGCACGCCACCCACGUGACACUCACACCCCCCCCUCCCCCACACUCCCACCACGCCCUGUACUCACUCGGCGCCCUGCACGCCCAUUGCACACCCUUUGCACACCCACUGCACACCAACUACACACCCAACACCCAUUGCACACCCACGACGCACAUGACACACGUGACACACACACACUCACACACUCCACCACGCACUGCACACACUCAACACCCCACACACCCACUGCACACCCACUGCACACCCAUUGCACACCCACAGCACACCCACAAUGCACGCCACCCACGUGACACUCACACCCCCCCCUCCCCCACACUCCCACCACGCCCUGUACUCACUCGGCGCCCCACACGCCCAUUGCACACCCAUUGCACACCCACGACGCACGUGACACAUGUGACACACACACUCACAUACUCCCAACACGCACUGCACGCCCAUUGCACACCCUUUGCACACCCACUGCACACCCACUACACACCCAACACCCGUGACACUCAUGACACACAUGACACACGUGACACACACACACACUCACACACUCCCACCACGCACUGCACACACUCAGCACCCAUUGCACACCCAUUGCACGCCCAUUGCACACCCACAGCACACCCACAAUGCACGCCACCCACGUGACACUCACACCCCCCCUCCCCCACACUCCCACCAUGCCCUGUACUCACUCGGCGCCCCACACGCCCAUUGCACACCCAUUGCACACCCACGACGCACGUGACACAUGUGACACACACACUCACAUACUCCCAACACGCACUGCAUGCCAAUUGCACACCCUUUGCACACCCACUGCACACCCACUACACACCCAACAUCCGUGACACCCAUGACACACAUGACACACGUGACACACACACACUCACACACUCCACCACACUGUGCACACACUCAACACCCCACACACCCACUGCACACCCAUUGCACACCCAUUGCACACCCACAGCACACCCACAACGCGCGCCACCCACGUGACACUCACACCCCCCCCUCCCCCACACUCCCACCACGCCCUGUACUCACUCGGCGCCCCACACGUCCAUUGCACACCCAAUGUACACCCAUGACACACGUGACACAUGUGACACACACUCACACCCUCCCAGCACGCACUGCACACACUCCACUCCCUGCACACCCAUUGCACACCCAUGACAAACGUGACACACGUGACACACACACACUCCCAACACACACUGCACACACUCAGCUCCCUGCACACACAUUGCACACCCAUGACACAUGUGACACACGUGACACACACACACUCACACACUCCCACCACACUCUGCACACACUCAACACCCAUUGCACACCCAUUGCACACCCACAGCACACCCACAACGCGCGCCACCCACGUGACACUCACACCCCCCCCUCCCCCACACUCCCACCACGCCCCGCGCUCACUCGGCGCCCCGCACACCCAUUGCACACCCAUUGCACACCCAUGACACACGUGACACAUGUGACACACACAAAGACACUCCGAACACGCACUGCAUGCCAAUUGCACACCCUUUGCACACCCACUGCACACCAACUACACACCCAACACCCAUUGCACACCCACGACGCACAUGACACACGUGACACACACACACUCACACACUCCCACCAUGCACUGCACACACUCAGCACCCAUUGCACACUCAUUGCACACCCACAGCACACCCACAACGCGCGCCACCCACGUGACACUCACACCCCCUCCCCCCCACACUCCCACCACGCCCUGUACUCACUCGGCGCCCCGCACGCCCAUUGCACGCCCUUUUGCACGCCCUUUUGCACGCCCCCCCCCCAAUCCCCUCGCCCCGCAGCGGGCAGGCUCUCGCCGCGGCCCCCCCCCCUCCCACCCCCAACCCCAAACCCCCCCCCUCAAACACCACC
ensembl:lncRNA